CAAAAACCAUUUAUAACAUUUGAUUUUCUAAUUAAUAUAAUGUUCAAAUUGUUUGAUUUUAUUUAAACAUCUAAUCUCUUUUAUCUCCAUUUGAUUUAUGCAAUUUUUUCAAUAAUCUACUGGGUAUCUUUUAAAUAUAGUUUUUUAUAAAUAUGAUUCUUUUUUUGCAGGUUGUGUUUUGCAAAUAAACAAGUUUAAAAUGAAAUUUAAGUAGACAGUGGUACAGUUAUGAUUUUCAUUUUUGGUGUUAAUCCAUCACAACCUGGAUACUAUUCUGGGCUGGUCUAUCAAAGUUUCAAGCAGUUUACAGUCUGAGGGAAAAGGGUACAAAUUAACCAAAGUUGUACUUGCAGGUUACAAGGGAGAAAACUGUGAAAUAUGGUUGACUAUAGAGAAACUAUAGAGAUACACAGAAUAAUGAGCACAUGAUAGUGUUGAAAAUAUGAUGAGGCUUGGUAUCCAGUUUAUUACCGACAGCUAAAAUGCAAGAACCUUGUUUCAAAAUGAAAGAUCGUUGCAAUGUCAAGCUUUGAUAUCAUUCAUCAAGCACUCUUGUUGAUUAAACAAUCAAGUAUGGAUAAAGAAAUCAGGGUGAUUAUUUGAUGUGUCAAUGGGAGCCUUUGGCAGUGUUGAGUCACGAUGCUGAGGUAGAGGCUUUAACUUUCAAUUUUGCUUCAAAAGAUGCUGAGGUGCAGCUUUAACUUUCAAGAAAAAUUUGAAAAAAACAGAAAUUCGGAUGAGAAAAGAAGAAAGAAAAAUUAAUGUAAAAAACAAAUUAAGAAACAAGUUGACCCAAAAAAAUACGCAAGACACAUUAUUAAGUUUCUACAAUGCGGACAUAUACAUUAUUAAGUACAUACUAUGCGGAAGCCAUGAACAACGCCGUCUCCUACUCGGAUAGUUUAUUUUUUUUAUGUACACAGUUGAUAAUAGAAAGUUUGCAUAAAA